AUGAACGCUGGCGGCGUGCCUAAUACAUGCAAGUCGAGCGAACAGACGAGGAGCUUGCUCCUCUGACGUUAGCGGCGGACGGGUGAGUAACACGUGGAUAACCUACCUAUAAGACUGGGAUAACUUCGGGAAACCGGAGCUAAUACCGGAUAAUAUAUUGAACCGCAUGGUUCAAUAGUGAAAGACGGUUUUGCUGUCACUUAUAGAUGGAUCCGCGCCGCAUUAGCUAGUUGGUAAGGUAACGGCUUACCAAGGCGACGAUGCGUAGCCGACCUGAGAGGGUGAUCGGCCACACUGGAACUGAGACACGGUCCAGACUCCUACGGGAGGCAGCAGUAGGGAAUCUUCCGCAAUGGGCGAAAGCCUGACGGAGCAACGCCGCGUGAGUGAUGAAGGUCUUCGGAUCGUAAAACUCUGUUAUUAGGGAAGAACAAAUGUGUAAGUAACUAUGCACGUCUUGACGGUACCUAAUCAGAAAGCUACGGCUAACUACGUG
rnacentral:rRNA from 1 species